ensembl:lncRNA
AUGAAGAUCCACCACAGUGAUGAUGAUGAUGAAGAUGAUGAUGAAGGCAGUCACAGCCAUAGUUUCAGCAGCGAUGACAUCACUAGAGACACGAGCUCUCCUGAUUGGUCCGUUCAGUGUCCCUCAGCAGGUGCGUCAGGUUAUUUCUCGUCUGUAAAUGAUGCUCAUGAGUCUCUUCAUGAUUUUAUCUUGUGCUUCUUUCUAUCAGAAUCUCCAGAGACGCUGAGACUCAGUUCUUCAUCAGGCUGUUCGAUGUCUCCCUCUCCUCCACCCAGAGCAGCAGCAGCGCCCCCUGCUGGCCGGAGGAUCACGCAGCUCCGCACUCGGAGACUCAGAGCUCAUGAUGCAGACGUCAGUAAAGCGAGAGCAUCAGAGGAGACUCGUGAGACUGAGAGCAUCACGACUGUGUGUCCUCAAAUCAUCCACAAACCUCACAGACCCUCCACCAGUCCUCUAAGAGCACAACGGUCAGAAGCUACUGAGGAUCAUCAACACUCAGACACCCAACAUAAACCAGUAAUAGUCUCUGAAAAACUAACGUCCAGACGCCCACAAACAGCCAGAGCUGCACUGCAGAGACUUCCAGACCGGAAACAUCCCCCUGAAGUGAUGCAUUGUGGGUCAGAUUAGAUCAUACCUCUUCACUGCAGGUCCACACACUUUCAGAAACACUUUAAAGUUGUCACUGAAUCACUAGGGGGCGCUGUUUGUCUCUGCUUUAUUUCAGAAGUAUUUCAGGUUUGAUUGACAGGAGAGUCUCAGCACAGAUAUCAUGUGAUCACUGACAGACUGCAGAUCUGUUGGAGCAUGAUGUCAGGUGACUGUGAUUGUGAACUCUGAUCUCCAGCAGCACAGCUUCAUCUCUGGUGGAUUGCUAGCAUGUCUGCUCUUGCAGGUUCAGUGUUUGCAUACGCAGGUGCAGGACUGUUAUUCCACGCGUCUCUGAAAGAUUUUCCACAGAUGACAGACAGAUAACAGUGUUGUUCUGACAAACACAGCAUCAUUUAUCUGGCCACAGUCUCCACAGGCUCCAGGUCUUUUAACCAUUUUGGACAGAAUUUUGUAACAAGAUAUUUUUGUGCACAUCCAGAUAUAUGAUGUUAAUAUUUGGCAAAUGGAGGAUGGAAAAUUGUUAAUAAAGUCAAGUGGAGAAUGAAAAACAAUGUUCUUUUUAUAUAUAUAUUUUUACACAUUUAAUGAAUCUUAAACUUAUCAACAAGUAAUAUUUACAAAUUAUGUAAUCUGGAAUAUCCUAUAUUAUAAUAAAGAAUAAAUGUACACUAUAUUUAAAAGUUUGGAGCCAUUAAGUUUAAAUCUAAAUAAUAAUAAUAAUGCUUCUAUUCUGCAAGGAUGCAUUAAAUUGCAUUAAAUGGCAGCCAUAAAAUAAAAGAGUUGGUUAAAAGAAAUACAAUUCAGCCCCCAACUUUUGAACAUUAGUUUGAUUUUAUAUCUACUUUGAUUUAUUUAGCAAUUUUAUUUUAUAUAUUUAGCAAUUUUAUAAUUUUAUGUCUUACAUAUAAUUACAUUAGAGAUAUUUGACUGGAGAUAUUACCAGUUUCUCAGUCUUUCUUGACUCAGUCUUGAAAUUCUCUCUCUCUCUCUGUGUGUGUGUGUGUGUGUUUGUGUGUGUGUACACUUUGCCAAAAACCACCUUUUUAUAAUCCCUGAACAUACUGUAUAUACAAAUGCAAAUCCUAAUAAAAGUAAUUAUGUCAAAAAAAAAAAAAAGAAACACUGUCAGUAACUAGGGAUUACACAGUCCUGUAUAUGUUUAUAAAUAGGGCUGUACAGGCAUCUAGUGGCUACAUUACAUAUGAUUUUCUAAUCUGCACCAUAUCAAUGGAUUUUAAGUACUUUUGCUCAAUUAACUCAAAUGCUGCAGUAAUUCAAAAAUAGUAUAAAAUAUGUUUGGGUUUUUUUGUAUAAUUUUUGAUUUUUAAUAUAAAUGUGAAUAUUUUUAGUAACAUUAAAUGUUUUUGAAGUACCAAAUAUUAAAGAAAAAAACAUUGAAAUAAAAUAUGGUACAUGCAUUUCAUUAAAAUUAAAUUAUUAUACGAUUAUGGAUCACGAACAACACAAGUGUGACUCCCAAAUUAACAAAACAUACUGUAUGUGUUAAUGACAGCAAGGAUGAUGAGUAAAUUCUGCAUUAAAUUGCGUUUUAUUGCAGAAAUCAAAGGGAUUCAGCGGGCCAGCUAAAUGGUUGCCAUAACAACUUCAUGCUCUGGCUACUGCUCUGUCUUUGCUGUCAUAAAGUUGCUUGAAUAUUAUAUUUGUUUUUAAAUUUAGCUAAUAUUUUUAAUUUUAUGUUUUUAUUUAUUUAUUUAUUUAUUUAUUUGGUAAUUGUAAUAUUUAAAGCAGAUGUGUUGCUUUAAGACAAUUUUCCACCAAUGAGAUCAGUGGGUGCUCCAUUGUUUACGUCACUAUGAUCGCUGCAUUCCAUUAGAACGUUCGGUGAGUACUCUAUAAAUAUGAGUGCAGAGGAAUCAGGCAUUUUGUAGCGAGUUGUGGCGAGUGAUCGUGAGUAUCCUCUUUAUAAUUUGGACAUCGAAAUUUUUAAUCAAUAUUUUCAUAACUUGGAGAAAAAUCACUGAGAUAAAUAAACAGGCAUGCUACACAGUGGAGGUCCGUGUGGAAAGUUUCAGAUAUGUAAAUUAGUAAUGAUCAAAGCAAUGACUGAUUUGAGUAUUUUUGUAUUAUUAUUAUUUAAUUGUUGAUAAUUAUACACAGAUGAUAUUCUCCAAUAUUCUUGAUAUUUCAUGACGCAUUAUAAUGUCUCCAUCAACACUCUUUUUAAGUAGGCUAUAUUAUUUAAACAGAAAAAAUCUUGCAGUGCCAAAUCGAGACUAUGAUCAUUUUAAACAUUUACUAUUAAAUACAGUCUCCAUCCACCACUCUCUGAUUAUGAAUAAUUUUGAAAGCUGAUACUGAAAGCUUUAAUAUUAGCCUUCCUCUUACAAUGAGUACAUUUUCAUGUAGAAGGAGGUAUAUACUUUUACAUUAUGAGCAUCUGAGUUAUGCACAUUAGUUAAUUAAUAAAAACUCAGCUGAUGGACCCCCAGUUUAAAAAACAACAACAACAACAACUUUAGACAACCAACUUGCCGGCUCUUAUAUGUUUACUGAACUCAACUGUUUCCUUUCUGUUUCUGUCACAGUGUUUACAGAUAGAAAGACAAAGUCAGUGUAUUGUUCACUUAUUUGGAUCUUCUUUUA